rnacentral:tRNA from 1 species
CGGGCCGUAGCUCACGCAGUGGUCGGGUCGGCGGUUGUAGAGCCAUAAUCCAUCCCGAUCUGGUAGAGCGCCGGGCACUGAUGACCCGGAGGUAGCAGGUUCAAUUCCUGCCGGCCCGA